GUAUAACCCAAGUUAUAAUUUCUAACCUAGCUGCCUCGCACCUCCCCUUAAGCCGCCUCUUGACCUAGAUGUAGCAGGAACUCAACUGAGCAACUCAUGCUCUUUCUCACACUUACCAUUUGUUAUUUCUUUUUGAUAUCAAAUUACUACUUCAAAUGUUUACGGUGUGAGAGUUUUAGGUUUUUCUCCUCAACCUCUGUCCUGGUUCAUCAAUUAGGACAAUUAAUUUUGUGGAUGGCCGAGUUUCUGGUGUUGUUAGCCGAAAUGGGCUAUCAAGUCCUUUCCGACCACUCUGUGAUAUCAUCACCAUCCAUAUUUCGUGUCCCUUCAUUAACCCUAAUUUUUUCUGUUGCUUUUGUUUUUUAUUUUGAUUUUGUUUGGGGCCAAUGAUUAAAUAUUAAAUUUAGACAAGCAUAUGUCUGAAAUUACUGUGUGGAACUCACUAAUCUUCUCUAUGAGGCCCUGUUAUAAAAAAAUAAGGUUGAUUUAAUUUUUUUUUAUGUGGGUUUGUGAGAAUAACAAGGAUUUCUAGUGUUUUUAUUUAUUUAUUUUUUAAUUUUGAAAAUCGCCAAUGAAGAAAAGACUGGUAUUAUCCAAUUGAUGAAUCAAUGUGAUUACAUUAUACCACUACUGCCUUCCUUCCGAGGCUAAAUUUUAAAUAUUUUUAUUUUAUUAAUUUUAAGUAUGGUCGUAUGAUGAUUUAUAAUGCAUAGUUCAGAUGAAUAUCUGUGAUUAUUAUAUUUCUUAGUCUUUCGCUCCUAUCUGACGACCUAUAUCUUUGAAUUUAGCUUAUAUACAUAUUUCUGCUUUAUUGGUUCUUUUUCAUGAUUGGUAUUAAUUUUUAUUUAAUUUGUUUUUUUUAUAUGAAGAAGUAUGUAUUUAUUGAUAGUGUUCGACAGUGGAGAAGGAAUGCAGUUUCUGAUAUGAUCAUUACAUAUUGCAAACAAUUGGUAGAAGGGACAGUGAAGAUAUUCAUUUAUGGUCUCGUUCGUCGUAGUGGACUGUUGUAGUCCUUGCCGAUAAUCCAUAUUCUGAGUCCUAUAAUUUUUCUUGUUGUGCUCUUCAGAUGUAAACCCUUGAGAUUUGUUUGCAGCUUUUUGAUUUUGGUUAGCGGUGGAUGCUAAAAUAUUAAAUUUAGACAAAUGUAUUGUUGAAAUUUCUAUAUGCACCAAUCUUAGACUCAUUAAAGUUGCGAUAGCUCAAAUAGCGAAACGGCUGUGAACAUUAUUUCAUUUAGUUUUGAGCGAAGGAGCUUAGGGGUUAAUGAAGAUCUAUAUUUAUGGUCUCGUUCGUCGUAAUGAAGAUCUAUAUUUAUGAUCUAUAAUACAAUUUUUUUUGUGA